rnacentral:rRNA from 1 species
UACGUAGGGCGCAAGCGUGUCCGGAAUUAUUGGGCGUAAAGAGCUCGUAGGCGGUCUGUUGCGUCCGCUGUGAAAUCUCGAGGCUCAACUUCGAGCUGUCGGUGGAAACUGUCUGGCUAGAGUCCGGAAGAGGAGAAUGGAAUUCCUGGUGUAGCGGUGAAAUGCGCAGAUAUCAGGAAGAACACCCGUGGCGAAGGCGGUUCUCUGGGACGGUACUGACGCUGAGACGCGAAAGCGUGGGGAGCGAACAGG